rnacentral:misc_RNA from 1 species
AACCUUAUGGACCUGCGGGCGUAUACCUGCGGAAGGAUCAUUACUGAGUGAGGGCCUUCGGGCUCGACCUCCAACCCUUUGUGAACACAACUUGUUGCUUCGGGGGCGACCCUGCCGUUUCGACGGCGAGCGCCCCCGGAGGCCUUCAAACACUGCAUCUUUGCGUCGGAGUUUAAGUAAAUUAAACAAAACUUUUAACAACGGAUCU